rnacentral:rRNA from 1 species
GUUGAACGCUGGCGGCAGGCCUAACACAUGCAAGUCGAGCGGAUGAAGGGAGAUUGCGCCUGGAUUCAGCUACGGACGGGUGAGUAAUGCCUAGGAAUCUACCUGGUAGUGGGGGCUGACGUAAGGACGGGGACGCUAAUACCGCAUAGGUCAAGAGGGUGAAAGGGAGGGAUCUUCGGACCUCGAGCUAUCAGCUGAGACUAAUACAGGGUACCUAGCUGGAUUAGCUAGUUGGUAAGGUAACGGCCUACCAAGGCGACGAUGCAUAGCCGACCUGAGAGGAUGAUCAGUCACACUGGAACUGAGACACGGUCCAGACUCCUACGGGAGGCAGCAGUAGGGAAUAUUGGGCAAUGGGCGAAAGCCUGACCCAGCCAUGCCGCGUGUGUGAAGAAGGUCUUCGGAUUGUAAAGCACUUUUAGUUGGGAGGAAGAGAAGUAUGUUAAUAUGUUGCUGUUUUGACGUUACCAACACAAUAAGCACCGGCUAACUUCGUG